rfam:Human gut metagenome DNA, contig sequence: F1-T_013798.
GCGUCUGACACGGGCCAUCGGUUGCCGGUCUGCGCCCAUCGGUCGGUGACGGCGC